ensembl:lncRNA
GUAAUGGUGAGAGGUUAGCAUGUUUUGUUGUAGCCUCUGUUAUUGGUAAUGGUGAGAGGUUAGCAUGUUUUGUUGUAGCCUCUGUUAUUGGUAAUGGUGAGAGGUUAGCAUGUUUUGUUGUAGUCUCUGUUAUUGGUAAUGGUGAGAGGUUAGCAUGUUUUGUUGUAUUCUCUGUUAUUGGUAAUGGUGAGAGGUUAGUAUGUUUUGUUGUAGUCUCUGUUAUUGGUAAUGGUGAGAGGUUAGUAUGUUUUGUUGUAGCCUCUGUUAUUGGUAAUGGUGAGAGGUUAGCAUGUUUUGUUGUAGCCCUUGUUAACACUAAUAAUACUAUGCAAUGAUAAUAUUUGCAUUUUUUUUUCACUAUAAGCAACAGUGGGAUUUCUUCCAUUGACGGAGAGGCGGACCAAAGCGCAGCGUGGUUGUUUUGAUUCAUGUUUUAAUAAAUCACUUCACAUGAACAAACUAACAAAAACAAGAACCGUGAAAACCCAAAACAGCCCUAUCUGGUGCAAAACACAGAGACAGGAACAAUCACCCACAAACAGUCCUAUCUGGUGCAAAACACAGAGACAGGAACAAUCACCCACAAACAGUCC